UACAGAGGGGGCAAGCGUUGUUCGGAAUUACUGGGCGUAAAGGGCGCGUAGGCGGCCUGUUAAGUCGAACGUGAAAUCCCCGGGCUCAACCCGGGAACUGCGUCCGAUACUGGCAGGCUUGAAUCCGGGAGAGGGAUGCGGAAUUCCUGGUGUAGCGGUGAAAUGCGUAGAUAUCUGGAGGAACACCGGUGGCGAAGGCGGCAUCCUGGACCGAUACUGACGCUGAGGAGCGAAAGCCAGGGGAGCAAACGGG
rnacentral:rRNA from 1 species